rnacentral:rRNA from 1 species
UGAAUACGAGACGCUAAGGCGUCGAAGUAGUGUAUGUCAUACUUCCAAGAAAAGCUUGCACUGUCAUAGAUAAAAAAUGCCUGUACCAUAACCGACACAGGUGGGUAGGUAGAGUAUACUAAGGGGCGCGAGAUAACUCUCUCUAAGGAACUCGGCAAAAUAACUCCGUAACUUCGGGAGAAGGAGUGCCUUAUUCUUAAGGUUGCAAUAACAAGAUCCAAGCAACUGUUUAUCAAAAACACAGGUCUCCGCUAAGUCGCAAGACGAUGUAUGGGGGCUGACGCCUGCCCAGUGCCAGAAGGUUAAAGAAGUUGGUUAGCUUUUGCGAAGCUGAUAACUGAAGCCCUGGUGAACGGCGGCCGUAACGAUAACGGUCCUAAGGUAGCGAAAUUCCUUGUCGGGUAAGUUCCGACCCGCACGAAAGGCGUAAUGAUUUGGAUACUGUCUCGGAGAGGGGCUCGGUGAAAUAGACUUGUCUGUGAAGAUGCGGACUACCUGCACCAGGACAGAAAGACCCUAUGAAGCUUUACUGUAACUUGAAAUUGAAAUUGGACUUUAUUCGCCAGUAUAGGUGGGAGGCGUUGAUUGUAAUCUUGCGGGAUUAUUGGAGCCAUCAGUGAGAUACCACUCUUGUAAUGUUAGAUUUCUAACUUUGUAUCAUUAUCUGGUCAAAGAACAGUUUCAGGCGGGCAGUUUGACUGGGGCGGUCGCCUCCUAAACGGUAACGGAGGCGUACAAAGGUUUCCUCUGAACGGUUAGAAAUCGUAUCUAGAGUGUAAAGGCAUAAGGAAGCUUGACUGUGAGACCUACAAGUCGAGCAGGGACGAAAGUCGGUCUUAGUGAUCUGACGGUACUGAGUGGAAAGGCCGUCACUCAACGGAUAAAAGUUACUCUAGGAUAACAGGCUGAUCUCCCCCAAGAGUUCACAUCGACGGGGAGGUUUGGCACCUCGAUGUCGGCUCAUCGCAUCCUGGGGCGGUAGUACGUCCCAAGGGUUGGGCUGUUCGCCCAUGAAAGCGGUACGCGAGCUGGGUUCAGAACGUCGUGAGACAGUUCGGUCCAUAUCCGGUGUAGGCGUUAGAAUAUUGAGAGGAGCCUUCUUUAGUACGAGAGGACCGAGAAGGACAUACCUCUGGUGUACCAGUUAUCGUGCCAACGGUAAACGCUGGGUAGCUAUGUAUGGAGUGGAUAACCGCUGAAAGCAUCUAAGUGGGAAGCCCACCUCAAGAUAAGUAUUCUCAC